rnacentral:lncRNA from 1 species
CUUUUAUGGUUCCAUACAAAUUUUAGAAUUAUGUUUUCUAUUUCUGUGAAAAAUGCCAUUGGAAUUUUGAUAGGGAUUGCACUGAACCUAUAAAUGGCUUUAAGUAGUAUGGACAUUUUAACAAUAUUAAUUCAUCCAGUCCAUGAACAUGGGAUAUCUUUCCACUUAUUUGUGUCUUCUUCAAUUUUUUUCAUCAAAGUGUGAUAGCUUUCAGUGUACAGGUCUUUCACCUCCUUGUUUAAAUUCAUUCUUAAGUAUUUUAUUGAUUUUGAUGCUAUUGUGAGCGAGAUUUUUUUAAAUUUGUUUUUCAGAUCUUUCAUUGUUAGUGUAUAGAAACACAACUGGUUUCUGUAUGUUAAUUUUUGAUCCUGCAAAUUUAUUGAAUUCAUUGAUUAUUUCUAACAAUUUCUUGGUGGAGUCCUUAGGAUUUUCUCUAGAUAAGAUCAUAUCACCUGCAGACAAAGGCAAUUUUACUCCUUCAUUUCAGAUUUAGGUGUCUUUGAUUUCUUUUUGCCUGAUUGCUAUGGCUAUGUUUUCCAAUACUAUCUUGAAUAAGGGUGGUGAGAAUGGACAGUGUUGUCUUGUUCUUGAUCUGAGAGGAAAAGCUUUCAGGCUUUCACCAUUGAGUAUGAUGUUAGCUAUGGGCUUGUCAUAUAUGGCCCUUAUUAUGUUGAAGUAUGUUCCUUCCAAGCCAAAUUUGUUUGGGUUUUAUCAUGAAAGGAUGUUAUAUUUUGUCAAAUGUUUUUUCUGCAUCAAUUGAGAUGAUCAUAUGAUUUUUAUCUUUCCUUCUGUUAAUGUGAUGUGUCACAUUAAUUGAUUUAUGUAUGGUAAAACAUUCUUGCAUCCUAGGGAUAAAUUCCACUUGAUCAUGGUAUAUGAUCCUUUUAAUGUGCUAUUGAAUUCAACUUGCUAGUAUUUUGUUGAGAAUUUCUGCAUCUAAAUUCAUCAGGAAUAUUGAUCUGUAGUUUUCUUUUCUUGUAAUGUUCUUAUAUGGCUUUAGUAAUGCUGGCCUUGUAAAAUAAGUUUGGGAGUGUUCCCUCCUCUUCAACAAUACAAUUUUUUUUGUGUCGAAUGGAUACAGCAUAGGUUAUGCACUUUUCAUAGUCACUGUCAUUGCUUUUUCCCCUUACUGCUAAGGUUGGCGACCAUGAUUUAUAAUUCAGUGGAUCAUCCAGUGGUACAUCUCUAAGUGAUGGGACAUAAGUGUGCAACUUAAGUGUGUUGCAAUCAGGAGUGUUAACAAUUCAUUUUAGACUCUACCUGUGAAUUAGCCCUUGUGCUUUGUAUUGAGAUAGAGUUAGUUUAAUUUUAACGUUGUGGAUAUUGGGACCAAGUUUCUAAGAGUCCAGGUAAUUAAAGGACAACAGCUACAAUAUCAAAGCCAGCAGGAGCCAGACUUCACCAAAAAAAAAAAAAAAAGGUUAAAUUUGUUGUUUUAAUGCAGAUACAACGUAGUGGGAGAGGGGGCCUAAAUAACCACAGCAGAGCUCAGUGUACAGUUUGGAGAAAAGAAUUUGGUAUUGGGCAUCACGAAGGAGACUGAAUCUCACAAGUCUAAGGAAUCAGUGUAAUGUGAGCUUGAGAAGAGGAGACCUGCAAGUCAAAGAGAACUUGAUCUUGAAUGUGUUUGGUUUUACGACUACAUAAAAUAAAAGAAGGAUAUCCUAAAGGCUGGCAAGCAGUUCAGAGGAGUAUUACUGGAAAAGGAAACACAAAGAGCAAAAAUAUCCUACUUUAUCAUGAGACAUAAACAUUCAUUGUUAAUUUUAAUUAAAUAUAGGUAAUAGGUAUUUAUCAGCCCCAUUGUAUUUACAUUCAACUUUUAAAAGGUCUUAUAUUUAUGUGUCUUAGGAAUACGUAAUAGGGGCUGGCCCCAUGGCUGAGUGGUUAAGUUUGUGGGCUCUGCUUCGGCUACCUAGGGUUCACCAGUUCAGAUCCUUGGCAUGGACCUACAUACUGUUCAUCAAGCUGUGCUGUGGUGGCAUCCCACAUAGAAGAACUGGAAUGACUUAUAAAUAGGAUAAUCAACUAUGUGCUAGGGCUUUGGGGAGGAAAAAAAAAAGAGGAAGAUUGGCAGCAGAUGUUAGCUCAGGGCCAAUCUUAUUCACCAAACAACAACAACAACAAAAACAUAACAAUAUGGUGUAUAAAAUUUAAAUAUCCAAUAAAAAGUUAAAAUCUGUAUCGGGGAAA